rnacentral:lncRNA from 1 species
UAAAUGUAAGAAAAUAAAAUAAAAUGCAUUAAAAAUAUUUUUAAAAUGAAUAUUAAAAGGGAAAUAAAAGAGAAAAUCCACAAAGCCCUUCCAAACACCAAAUAAAUGGCCAAGAAAAUUAUGGAAGGUUGGAAAUAAAAUAAGAGACAUAAAAUAAUUUUUUUAGAAAUUUUAAAUCUCUAAAAGUAUUUUUAAACCAAUUAAAACAAAGGAGAAAAGAGAAAACCUAAGAAAAAUAGAAAAUCAAGAAAAUAAAAUAUGGAAAAAUAAAAGUCAGAUGAAGAAAAACAAAAUAAAAUUUUAGAAAUUAUUUUGGGAUUUUUUUGGAUGAAAGAUGAAUUUUCUAUGAAUUUUAAAAGAAAAUGCAAUUUAAA